UGGUGUGUCCAGCUGCGUUGGAUUUACUCCGCGUAAAUAGCACUCCGCUCUCCGUGGUGCACUGGUGGCGUGUGUGGACACCUGGUCAGCUGUAGCAAAUUACAGCUGCGGUUGGGAACCUCGCGCUGCUCUGUGGUGUCUCCGCUGUGCGUAAAGGCCGCCGUUUGCGUGGUCUUGUGGCAUUUGAUGUUCGGGUAAGUGGCAUGUCUCUCUCUUUGACCCAUUGGGCUGUACCCAGCCAGUCUAAUGCUCUCUCUUCUUUGUGUAGUGUGGUGGUUUCUUGUGCGUGGUAACACACACGUUUAUUCGGAGGCUGAGAG